UACGGGGGGGGCAAGCGUUGUUCGGAAUUACUGGGCGUAAAGGGCUCGUAGGCGGCCAACUAAGUCGGAUGUGAAAUCCCCAGGCUCAACCUGGGAACUGCAUCCGAUACUGGAUGGCUUGAAUUCGGGAGAGGGAUGCAGAAUUCCAGGUGUAGCGGUGAAAUGCGUAGAUAUCUGGAGGAAUAUCGGUGGCGAAGGCGGCAUCCUGGACCGACAUUGACGCUGAGGAGCGAAAGCCAGGGGAGCAAACGGG
rnacentral:rRNA from 1 species